AUAAGCAACAGCCCAAAGACUGGGAUAGCGGACUCAAAGGUCCAGUAAUUCCGGAUGUGGCCCUUCCCCCGCAUGAGGGAGGGCUUAAAUGGUUUUAAGCUUCAGGAGCGGCUUAUGACCAUCAGUCAGUUGGCGGGGUAACGGCCCACCAUGGUUACGACGGGUAGGGGGUCUGAGAGGAUGAUCCCCCCGAGUGGGGGCGAGACACGGCC
rnacentral:rRNA from 1 species